rnacentral:tRNA from 1 species
GGAGGGGUGCCGGAGUGGUUAAUCGGAGCAGACUGUAAAUCUGCCGCCUUUGGGCUUCGUGGGUUCGAAUCCUACCCCCUCCACCA